rnacentral:rRNA from 1 species
GAAUAUUGGUCAAUGGGCGCCAGCCUGAACCAGCCAUCCCGCGUGCAGGAAGACGGCGCUAUGCGUUGUAAACUGCUUUUCCAGGGAGAGAAACUUGCGCACGUGUUGCGCAAUUGACGGUACCCUGGGAAUAAGCAUCGGCUAACUCCGUGCCAGCAGCCGCGGUAAUACGGAGGAUGCGAGCGUUAUCCGGAUUCAUUGGGUUUAAAGGGUGCGUAGGCGGACUAUUAAGUCAGUGGUGAAAUCCUGCAGCUUAACUGCAGAACUGCCAUUGAUACUGAUAGCCUUGGGUUUGGUUAAGGUAGGCGGAAUGUGUAAUGUAGCGGUGAAAUGCUUAGAUAUUACACAGAACACCAAUGGCGUAGGCAGCUUACUGAGCCGACACUGACGCUGAGGCACGAAAGCGUGGGGAUCGAACAG